AGGACGAACGCUGGCGGCGUGCCUAACACAUGCAAGUCGAACGCGCUCCAUUCGGUAGCAAUACUGAUGAAGAGCGAGUGGCGAACGGGUGAGUAGCACGUGAGCAACCUGCCCCGAAGACUGGGACAACACCGGGAAACCGGUGCUAAUACCGGAUAUCCCUAUCGGACCGCAUGGUCCAAUAAGGAAAUGUUUUUCGCUUCGGGAGGGGCUCGCGGCCUAUCAGCUAGUUGGUGGGGUAACGGCCACCAAGGCAUCGACGGGUAGCUGGUCUGAGAGGACGAUCAGCCACACUGGGACUGAGACACGGCCCAGACUCCUACGGGAGGCAGCAGUGGGGAAUCUUGCGCAAUGGGCGAAAGCCUGACGCAGCAACGCCGCGUGGAGGACGAAGGCUUUCUGAGUUGUAAACUCCUUUCAGCAGGGACGAUUGUGACGGUACCUGCAGAAGAAGCGACCGGCCAACUACGCGCCGAGCAGCCGCGGUAA
rnacentral:rRNA from 1 species